rnacentral:tRNA from 1 species
GCCCGUGUGGCUCAGUGGUUGAGCGUCGACCUGUGAACCCGGAGGUCACAGUUCGAUUCCGAGUCAGGGCA